GUUAAAAUAGCUCAGAAGGUAGAGCAGAGGACUGAAGAUCCUCAGGUCAUCAGUUCGAUUCUGAUUUUUAACA
rnacentral:tRNA from 1 species